rnacentral:tRNA from 1 species
GGGUAGGUAGCUCAGGGGUAGAGCACGGCCCUGAAAAGGCCGGUGUCGUCGGUUCGAUUCCGACCCUACCCACCA